AUACGUAGGGGGCGAGCGUUGUCCGGAAUGAUUGGGCGUAAAGGGCGCGUAGGCGGCGCGGUAAGUCUGGAGUGAAAGUCCUGCUUUCAAGGUGGGCAUUGCUUUGGAUACUGCCGCGCUUGAGUGCAGGAGAGGUUAUCGGAAUUCCCGGUGUAGCGGUGAAAUGCGUAGAGAUCGGGAGGAACACCAGUGGCGAAGGCGGGUAACUGGACUGCAACUGACGCUGAGGCGCGAAAGUGUGGGGAGCAAACAGGAUUAGAUACCCUGGUAGUCCACACUGUAAACGAUGAAUGCUAGGUGUAAGAGGUAUCGACCCCUUUUGUGCCGGAGUCAACACAAUAAGCAUUCCGCCUGGGGAGUACGGCCGCAAGGUUGAAACUCAAAUGAAUUGACGGGG
rnacentral:rRNA from 1 species